rnacentral:rRNA from 1 species
GACGAACGCUGGCGGCAUGCCUAACACAUGCAAGUCGAACGGAGAUUAUUUCGGUAAUCUUAGUGGCGAACGGGUGAGUAACGCGUGGGCAACCUGCCCUCUAGAUGGGGACAACAUCCCGAAAGGGGUGCUAAUACCGAAUGUGACAGCAAUCUCGCAUGAGGAUGCUGUGAAAGAUGGCCUCUAUUUAUAAGCUAUCGCUAGAGGAUGGGCCUGCGUCUGAUUAGCUAGUUGGUGGGGUAACGGCCUACCAAGGCGAUGAUCAGUAGCCGGUCCGAGAGGAUGAACGGCCACAUUGGGACUGAGACACGGCCCAGACUCCUACGGGAGGCAGCAGUGGGGAAUCUUCCGCAAUGGGCGAAAGCCUGACGGAGCAAUGCCGCGUGAGUGAUGAAGGAAUUCGUUCCGUAAAGCUCUUUUGUUUAUGACGAAUGUGCAGAUUGUGAACAAUGAUCUGUAAUGACGGUAGUAAACGAAUAAGCCACGGCUAACUACGUG